CUGUGGCUGUUGCAGGACUGUAAUAAAAACAUCCAAUCAUUUCAUUGGGCCUGGAUGUACAGUAAUGGUUGGACGGGUUACCUGGUUACCUGUCUGCCUGCCUGCGCACACUCUGCGCACACUCUGCGCAUGCACUCACUGCUCGUCACUCGGUGACGGUCACCGGAGUCUUCCACCAGCUGCUAGCUUGACAGCCGCAUGAGCAGCUUAUCUGUAUGUGUCUGCAGGAGAAAGAACGAGAGACAGCAUUGACAGAAGACAAAAACCAAACAAGAGCAGGAGGAAAGCCUGAGCACUUAUGUCAACAGAGGAUUGUAAAGCCUGCAGGAACAUCAGCAGUCACCAUGAACAGCAGCUACCACCAGAGGUGAGGAGGCAGGAAGGAGUCAAGGACCACAAAGGGCACAGAUCUAUGCCCAGCCAUGCAUGAUCUGGAAUGAAAAGAGGUAGUAAAAGCAUUAUUACAGCGGACACACUCUCACUUCCAUGUACUGUCACAUCUGGCAUGGAUUGGGACCAGUGGGAGGACAGGAUGGACUUGUUUUGGUUAAGAAUUUAGAAAGCAGUUUAUGUACGAGCAUGAGGAAACCAAACUGUUGCAGUAAUCAUACAUUUUUUUGGUUUCCACACCUUGUAUGGCAAAUAUAGUUUGGGUUUUAGUAAUAUUAUGGAUGUAAAAUUGCAGUUUUAGUACUUCUUCUUUGAUGUGCGCAUAAAGCAAAAGAGCAGGAAUGAUA